GACGAACGCUGGCGGCGUGCUUAACACAUGCAAGUCGAGCGGAAACGCCCUUCGGGGUACCCCAGCGGCGAACGGAGUAGUAACACGUGAGUAACUUCCCCCAGACCUUGUUUUAACCCUCGGAUACGGGAGGUAAUAUCGCGUACGUCCCAGCUUCGCCCUAGGUCUGUGUGGAAAGUUUUUUCGUUUCGGCUGGGCUCGGGUGCUACCAGCUCGUUGGUGGUGGUUUGGCGUACCAAGGCGAAGCCAGGUAGCCGUCCUGAGAGGGCGGACGGCCACAAUGGGACUGAGACACGGCCCAGACUCCUACGGGAGGCAGCAGGGGGGAAUAUUACACAGUGGGCGGAAGCCUGAUACGGAGACGCCGCGUGUGGGAAGACGGCCUUCGGGGUGUAAACCUCUUUCAGCUGGGACGAAGCGUAAGUGACGGUACCUGCAGAAGAAGCGCCGGCUAACUACGUG
rnacentral:rRNA from 1 species